UGUAUGCAACUGGUGAGGAAACACUCCCAAUGGUGAUUUGAGGAAGAAAUCUCAAGCAGACCAGACUCAGAGGGGUGACCCACUACCUGGGCCAUGGUACUGACACACUUGACAGUAGAAAUAU